GUGAACGCUGGCGGUAGGCCUAACACAUGCAAGUCGCACGGCAGCACAGUAAGAGCUUGCUCUUACGGGUGGCGAGUGGCGGACGGGUGAGGAAUACAUCGGAAUCUACUUUUUCGUGGGGGAUAACGUAGGGAAACUUACGCUAAUACCGCAUACGACUUACGGGUGAAAGCAGGGGAUCUUCGGACCUUGCGCGAUUGAAUGAGCCGAUGUCGGAUUAGCUAGUUGGCGGGGUAAAGGCCCACCAAGGCGACGAUCCGUAGCUGGUCUGAGAGGAUGAUCAGCCACACUGGAACUGAGACACGGUCCAGACUCCUACGGGAGGCAGCAGUGGGGAAUAUUGGACAAUGGGCGCAAGCCUGAUCCAGCCAUACCGCGUGGGUGAAGAAGGCCUUCGGGUUGUAAAGCCCUUUUGUUGGGAAAGAAAAGCAGCAGGUUAAUACCCCGCUGUUCUGACGGUACCCAAAGAAUAAGCACCGGCUAACUUCGUG
rnacentral:rRNA from 1 species